UACGAAGGGGGCUAGCGUUGCUCGGAAUCACUGGGCGUAAAGCGCACGUAGGCGGCUUUUUAAGUCAGGGGUGAAAUCCUGGAGCUCAACUCCAGAACUGCCUUUGAUACUGGGAAGCUUGAGUCCGGAAGAGGUGAGUGGAACUCCGAGUGUAGAGGUGAAAUUCGUAGAUAUUCGGAAGAACACCAGUGGCGAAGGCGACUCACUGGACAUGUAUUGACGCUGAGGUGCGAAAGCGUGGGGAGCAAACAGG
rnacentral:rRNA from 1 species